CUACAACUAAAACAAAUCUCCACUGUGGGAUGAGGUAGUAGGUUGUAUAGUUUUAGGGUCACACCCACCACUGGGAGAUAACUAUACAAUCUACUGUCUUUCUUAAAGUGGGAGGAAAUCUCCAGGAGUAUU
rnacentral:precursor_RNA from 15 species